rnacentral:rRNA from 1 species
GUGUGACUGCGUACCUUUUGUAUAAUGGGUCAGCGACUUAUAUUCUGUAGCAAGGUUAACCGAAUAGGGGAGCCGAAGGGAAACCGAGUCUUAACUGGGCGUUAAGUUGCAGGGUAUAGACCCGAAACCCGGUGAUCUAGCCAUGGGCAGGUUGAAGGUUGGGUAACACUAACUGGAGGACCGAACCGACUAAUGUUGAAAAAUUAGCGGAUGACUUGUGGCUGGGGGUGAAAGGCCAAUCAAACCGGGAGAUAGCUGGUUCUCCCCGAAAGCUAUUUAGGUAGCGCCUCGUGAAUUCAUCUCCGGGGGUAGAGCACUGUUUCGGCAAGGGGGUCAUCCCGACUUACCAACCCGAUGCAAACUGCGAAUACCGGAGAAUGUUAUCACGGGAGACACACGGCGGGUGCUAACGUCCGUCGUGAAGAGGGAAACAACCCAGACCGCCAGCUAAGGUCCCAAAGUCAUGGUUAAGUGGGAAACGAUGUGGGAAGGCCCAGACAGCCAGGAUGUUGGCUUAGAAGCAGCCAUCAUUUAAAGAAAGCGUAAUAGCUCACUGGUCGAGUCGGCCUGCGCGGAAGAUGUAACGGGGCUAAACCAUGCACCGAAGCUGCGGCAGCGACACUGUGUGUUGUUGGGUAGGGGAGCGUUCUGUAAGCCUGCGAAGGUGUGCUGUGAGGCAUGCUGGAGGUAUCAGAAGUGCGAAUGCUGACAUAAGUAACGAUAAAGCGGGUGAAAAGCCCGCUCGCCGGAAGACCAAGGGUUCCUGUCCAACGUUAAUCGGGGCAGGGUGAGUCGACCCCUAAGGCGAGGCCGAAAGGCGUAGUCGAUGGGAAACAGGUUAAUAUUCCUGUACUUGGUGUUACUGCGAAGGGGGGACGGAGAAGGCUAUGUUGGCCGGGCGACGGUUGUCCCGGUUUAAGCGUGUAGGCUGGUUUUCCAGGCAAAUCCGGAAAAUCAAGGCUGAGGCGUGAUGACGAGGCACUACGGUGCUGAAGCAACAAAUGCCCUGCUUCCAGGAAAAGCCUCUAAGCAUCAGGUAACAUCAAAUCGUACCCCAAACCGACACAGGUGGUCAGGUAGAGAAUACCAAGGCGCUUGAGAGAACUCGGGUGAAGGAACUAGGCAAAAUGGUGCCGUAACUUCGGGAGAAGGCACGCUGAUACGUAGGUGAAGUCCCUCGCGGAUGGAGCUGAAAUCAGUCGAAGAUACCAGCUGGCUGCAACUGUUUAUUAAAAACACAGCACUGUGCAAACACGAAAGUGGACGUAUACGGUGUGACGCCUGCCCGGUGCCGGAAGGUUAAUUGAUGGGGUCAGCGCAAGCGAAGCUCUUGAUCGAAGCCCCGGUAAACGGCGGCCGUAACUAUAACGGUCCUAAGGUAGCGAAAUUCCUUGUCGGGUAAGUUCCGACCUGCACGAAUGGCGUAAUGAUGGCCAGGCUGUCUCCACCCGAGACUCAGUGAAAUUGAACUCGCUGUGAAGAUGCAGUGUACCCGCGGCAAGACGGAAAGACCCCGUGAACCUUUACUAUAGCUUGACACUGAACAUUGAGCCUUGAUGUGUAGGAUAGGUGGGAGGCUUUGAAGUGUGGACGCCAGUCUGCAUGGAGCCGACCUUGAAAUACCACCCUUUAAUGUUUGAUGUUCUAACGUUGACCCGUAAUCCGGGUUGCGGACAGUGUCUGGUGGGUAGUUUGACUGGGGCGGUCUCCUCCUAAAGAGUAACGGAGGAGCACGAAGGUUGGCUAAUCCUGGUCGGACAUCAGGAGGUUAGUGCAAUGGCAUAAGCCAGCUUGACUGCGAGCGUGACGGCGCGAGCAGGUGCGAAAGCAGGUCAUAGUGAUCCGGUGGUUCUGAAUGGAAGGGCCAUCGCUCAACGGAUAAAAGGUACUCCGGGGAUAACAGGCUGAUACCGCCCAAGAGUUCAUAUCGACGGCGGUGUUUGGCACCUCGAUGUCGGCUCAUCACAUCCUGGGGCUGAAGUAGGUCCCAAGGGUAUGGCUGUUCGCCAUUUAAAGUGGUACGCGAGCUGGGUUUAGAACGUCGUGAGACAGUUCGGUCCCUAUCUGCCGUGGGCGCUGGAGAAUUGAGGGGGGCUGCUCCUAGUACGAGAGGACCGGAGUGGACGCAUCACUGGUGUUCGGGUUGUCAUGCCAAUGGCACUGCCCGGUAGCUAAAUGCGGAAGAGAUAAGUGCUGAAAGCAUCUAAGCACGAAACUUGCCCCGAGAUGAGUUCUCCCUGACUCCUUGA